AGGGCUUUAUACCAAUUGCAAUUAUUGCAAUAAAGAUAUAACCGGGAAGAUCUAUAUCAAGUGUGCGGAAUGCCCUAGCUUUGACCUUUGUGUAGAGUGCUUCUCUAUUGGAGCUGAGGUGACACCUCAUAAAAAUAGUCAUUCUUACAGGAUUAUGGAAAUUUUAUCUUUCUCGCUUAUUUGCCCUGACUGGAAUGCAAAUGAGGAAAAACUACUUUUGGAGGUUCUUUUUGGAGGACAAAAAGGGAUCUUCUAUGCUUGGGAAGCAUACUUUGAAGGAGUCUCCAUUUCCUCCCUCCAGAGUCAAGUAAGGUUUCCGUUCUUCUCCACGUAUUCAUUUUCUCUUUCCAUCUAUAAAACCGUCUCAUGCCUGUUUUCAUGACUAACUCAGAGUUGAAGAAAUGCAUAAAGCUGGUUCUUCUGGCCGGUUACUAUCUAACUUAAAUGCAGGUAAAUGUUAUGUAAUCAUGAGUAGCUGCUGAUCUUUUAUUUAAAAUGAAAUAAAAAAAAUCUCGUGGCUGUGAUCAACUGUUUGCCUUGUUUUGUUAAACUCAAGAUGUAGAAUCUAGGGUCCAUUCUAAUAGCUUAAUACAACAGCAACAGCUGCUUUUAAGAAGGCAUCCAAAAUGGCCCGUGUUAAAGAUGGCCUCAGUGUCGUUAAAGUGGAAGGUCUGAUAUAUGACAUUUCUCGUUAGAUUUCUAGCUUAUUUUAUGAUGGUGACGGUGUAGCAAUGCUCUAGGUGCUUGUAGAAUGUUUUUUGGCAAUUGUGGCAUAUAUUGUGUAAUAUUUUAAAAUGUUGACUGAUUGAGAUUCAUUUUGGAG